rnacentral:rRNA from 1 species
AUUGAACGCUGGCGGAAUGCUUUACACAUGCAAGUCGAGCGGCAGCGCGGGGCAACCUGGCGGCGAGCGGCGAACGGGUGAGUAAUACAUCGGAACGUACCCAGUUGUGGGGGAUAGCCCGGCGAAAGCCGGAUUAAUACCGCAUACGACCUGAGGGUGAAAGGGGGGGAUCGCAAGACCUCUCGCAGUUGGAGCGGCCGAUGGCGGAUUAGCUAGUUGGUAGGGUAAAGGCCUACCAAGGCGACGAUCCGUAGCUGGUCUGAGAGGACGACCAGCCACACUGGAACUGAGACACGGUCCAGACUCCUACGGGAGGCAGCAGUGGGGAAUAUUGCGCAAUGGGCGAAAGCCUGACGCAGCCACGCCGCGUGAGUGAUGAAGGCCUCGGUUGUAAGCUCUGUCGGAGGGAAGACGGGAGAAAGUACCCAGACGGUACCUACGCAAGAAAGACACCGGCUAACUCUCGUGCCAGCAGCCGCGGUAA